rnacentral:rRNA from 1 species
GACGAACGCUGGCGGCGUGCUUAACACAUGCAAGUCGAACGAAGAGCGACGGAAGCUUGCUUCUAUCAAUCUUAGUGGCGAACGGGUGAGUAACGCGUAAUCAACCUGCCCUUCAGAGGGGGACAACAGUUGGAAACGACUGCUAAUACCGCAUACGAUCUAACCUCGGCAUCGAGGAUAGAUGAAAGGUGGCCUCUACAUGUAAGCUAUCACUGAAGGAGGGGAUUGCGUCUGAUUAGCUAGUUGGAGGGGUAACGGCCCACCAAGGCGAUGAUCAGUAGCCGGUCUGAGAGGAUGAACGGCCACAUUGGGACUGAGACACGGCCCAGACUCCUACGGGAGGCAGCAGUGGGGAAUCUUCCGCAAUGGACGAAAGUCUGACGGAGCAACGCCGCGUGAGUGAUGACGGCCUUCGGGUUGUAAAGCUCUGUUAAUCGGGACGAAAGGCCUUCUUGCGAAUAGUGAGAAGGAUUGACG